rnacentral:lncRNA from 1 species
GGCACAGUCCAGUGAAAAGUGUCAUUGAGUUACGAUCUCGGUCCCAAGAUCGCUGAGCCGCCACCGUUGGCGGCAUUGGCCGUUGCUUAAAGUUCAAUUAAAAGUAAUUAAAACUGCUACGAGUUCAAGUCACACCCAUGGAAAUCUAAAUACAACUAUACUAAGUACAACUUUAAAUGCACUGAGCAAUAGUACAAAACAAUCGUCAGAAAUAUUUAAAUGCUUCAAUAUUCUUCAUUCGAAUAUAAAAAGAAACCAGAAACUAAAAUGCAACUGGUAUUCGAGUUAGAUCAAUAAUCAAGAAACUCAAUUCCAAAAUAAACAUGCUUCGUCCAUAUAAACAAAAGUACAACAGGAACUAAAAUGCAACUGGUGUUCAAGUAAAUUAAGAAACGCAGUUACAAAAUACUAAAUGAUUGCCGUAUAAAUAAAUAAACAUAACAAGAAGACUUAAGUGACUGAAUACCAACAAGGAAAAGUCACGCGCUCAUAUAAAAGAAUUAAAAGAUUCAAUCAAACCCCAAAAAACUAAAAAAAAAAUUAAUCAUUUGAAUGAUACACAGUCCACUUCUGCAAUUUUGGUUAAAUUACUACAUUUAUCGCCUCAUAAAAUCUGGAAAUUUUCUUGAUCACAAUAAGAUAUCCAAAUGCAUACAAACUUUCACGAUGAUAGAGUUCCCAGGGAAACUUCAAAUACUACUUCAAAAUAAUCAAUUUACUUGAUAAUAUAAAUGAUGAUGAUGAUGAUCAACGCAACUAUCAACAAAAAAAUAUCUUCCAGUCUUAAGAACGAAGCUUAGUUGUAAAUUUAUUUGUGCCUUUUUAGUUUCCUAAUUUGUUUAUUUUCUGUUGUGUUCAUGUUUUUUGUUAAACAAAUUUAAAAGCUAUAAAUUUGUUGGUCUAACAAUAUCCUUGAAUAAGGUUUCCAUUUAAUUUAAUUAAUCAAAAGGAGAAUAUUUAGGAAAGCUUACUCAAUGUAUAUUGCCAAUAGCAAGGCGUGUUUUUGUUGCUAAAUGAUUAUUUAUGUAUACGCGAGGACCCUUGAGUUUUAAAUUUUCAUUUAAUUUAAAACACUUUUUAUUUCGGUUUUAUUUGUUUUCCGUUCAGUUGGUAUUUAAAUAUACCGUGUUUUGAUUUUUUAGAUUCAUGAUUUCGGAUUUGGUAAG